CCCGCACAAGCGGAGGAGCAUGUGGUUUAAUUCGAUGAUACGCGAGGAACCUUACCUGGGCUCGAACGUAAGAUGACUGUAGGUGAAAGCUUACAUCUCUUCGGAGCAUUUUACGAGGUGCUGCAUGGUUGUCGUCAGCUCGUGCCGUGAGGUGUCGGGUUGAGUCCCAUAACGAGCGCAACCCUACCUUUAGUUGCCAUCAGGUAAUGCUGGGGACUCUAAAGGAACUGCCUACGCAAGUAGUGAGGAAGGCGGGGAUGACGUCAAAUCAGCACGGCCCUUACGUCCAGGGCUACACACGUGCUACAAUGGCCGAUACAGAGGGCAGCUACCUGGUGACAGGAUGCAAAUCUCCAAAGUCGGUCUCAGUUCGGAUCGGAGUCUGCAACCCGACUCCGUGAAGUUGGAUUCGCUAGUAAUCGCGCAUCAGCCAUGGCGCGGUGAAUACGUUCCCGGGCCUU
rnacentral:rRNA from 1 species